GAUGAACGCUGGCGGCGUGCUUAACACAUGCAAGUCGAACGAUGAAGCCCAGCUUGAUGGGUGGAUUAGUGGCGAACGGGUGAGUAACACGUGAGUAACCUGCCCUUAACUCUGGGAUAAGCCUGGGAAACUGGGUCUAAUACCGGAUAGGAGCGUCCACCGCAUGGUGGGUGUUGGAAAGAUUUAUCGGUUUUGGAUGGACUCGCGGCCUAUCAGCUUGUUGGUGAGGUAAUGGCUCACCAAGGCGACGACGGGUAGCCGGCCUGAGAGGGUGACCGGCCACACUGGGACUGAGACACGGCCCAGACUCCUACGGGAAGCAGCAGUGGGGAAUAUUGCACAAUGGGCGCAAGCCUGAUGCAGCGACGCCGCGUGAGGGAUGACGGCCUUCGGGUUGUAAACCUCUUUCAGUAGGGAAGAAGCGAAAGUGACGGUACCUGCAGAAGAAGCACCGGCUAACUACGUG
rnacentral:rRNA from 1 species